rnacentral:rRNA from 1 species
AUUGAACGCUGGCGGCAGGCUAACACAUGCAAGUCGAGCGGGGUGAUGGUGCUUGCACUAUCACUUAGCGGCGGACGGGUGAGUAAUGCUUAGGAAUCUGCCUAUUAGUGGGGGACAACAUCUCGAAAGGAAUGCUAAUACCGCAUACGUCCUACGGGAGAAAGCAGGGGAUCACUUGUGACCUUGCGCUAAUAGAUGAGCCUAAGUCGGAUUGGCUAGUUGGUGGGGUAAAGGCCUACCAAGGCGACGAUCUGUAGCGGGUCUGAGAGGAUGAUCCGCCACACUGGGACUGAGACACGGCCCAGAAUCCUACGGGAGGCAGCAGUGGGGAAUAUUGGACAAUGGGGGGAACCCUGAUCCAGCCAUGCCGCGUGUGUGAAGAAGGCCUUAUGGUUGUAAAGCACUUUAAGCGAGGAGGAGGCUCUUUUGGUUAAUACCCAAGAUGAGUGGACGUUACUCGCAGAAUAAGCACCGGCUAACUCUGUGCCAGCCGCCGCCGUAA